UUGUCUGAUUUAAAGACUUAUUCUGUGCAGAACACAUGUUGAGAGACUACAUCUGUUCAGAUCAUAGAUCAUCUACAGACUGCUGUUAACAUCAGCAACAGAUUACAUGUAGAGCAUUUUGACAGCUACUCUGUCAUAAUUAAAACAACUGAAGACUGUAUACAAGCUGAUAUGUAGGUCUGAUAACAUUUUCUUAAAUCGGAAUCGCACCACAGUGUUUCUUUGACUUCCUGUUCAGCCUGAAGGCUGCUGGAAUUGACUGGAAACUGUCCCACUUGAGAGCCGAUUUUGUCAUACCCUGCCUGCUCUCCUCCACUUUUUCAGGCGAAGCGCAGUUCAUCUCCAACGCG